AUGAACGCUGGCGGCGUGCCUAAUACCUGCAAGUCGAGCGAACAGACGAGGAGCUUGCUCCUCUGACGUUAGCGGCGGACGGGUGAGUAACACGUGGAUAACCUACCUAUAAGACUGGGAUAACUUCGGGAAACCGGAGCUAAUACCGGAUAAUAUAUUUAACCGCAUGGUUCAAUAGUGAAAGACGGUUUUGCUGUCACUUAUAGAUGGAUCCGCGCCGCAUUAGCUAGUUGGUAAGGUAACGGCUUACCAAGGCAACGAUGCGUAGCCGACCUGAGAGGGGGGUCGGCCACACUGGAACUGAGACACGGUCCAGACUCCUACGGGAGGCAGCAGUAGGGAAUCUUCCGCAAUGGGCGAAAGCCUGACGGAGCAACGCCGCGUGAGUGAUGAAGGUCUUCGGAUCGUAAAACUCUGUUAUUAGGGAAGAACAAAUGUGUAAGUAACUAUGCACGUCUUGACGGUACCUAAUCAGAAAGCCACGGCUAACUACGUG
rnacentral:rRNA from 1 species